rnacentral:rRNA from 1 species
CCUACGGGAGGCAGCAGUAGGGAAUUUUCCGCAAUGGGCGAAAGCCUGACGGAGCAAUACCGCGUGAGGGAUGACGGCCUGUGGGUUGUAAACCUCUUUUCUCAAGGAAGAAGUUCUGACGGUACUUGAGGAAUAAGCAUCGGCUAACUCUGUGCCAGCAGCCGCGGUAAUACAGAGGAUGCAAGCGUUAUCCGGAAUCACUGGGCAUAAAGCGUCUGUAGGUUGUUUAGUAAGUCUGCUGUUAAAGACUGGGGCUUAACCCCAGAAAAGCAGUGGAAACUGCUAGACUCGAGUGUGGUAGAGGUAGAGGGAAUUCCUAGUGUAGCGGUGAAAUGCGUAGAUAUUAGGAAGAACACCAAUGGCGAAGGCACUCUACUGGGCCAUAACUGACACUGAGAGACGACAGCUAGGGGAGCAAACGGGAUUAGAUACCCCGGUAGUCCUAGCCGUAAACGAUGGAUACUAGAUGUUGCACGUAUCAACCCGUGCAGUAUCGUAGCGUAGUACGUAGUAGUCCGUCCGUCGGAGUACGCGUCGCGAGAGAGAACGUAAAGGUAAGUUAGUUAGGACGUAGUUAGAGUAGCGACGGCGACGACGAGGGAGGAGG